UGGGGAAUUUUGGACAAUGGGCGCAAGCCUGAUCCAGCCAUGCCGCGUGCGGGAAGAAGGCCUUCGGGUUGUAAACCGCUUUUGUCAGGGAAGAAAUCUUCUGAGUUAAUACCUCGGGAGGAUGACGGUACCUGAAGAAUAAGCACCGGCUAACUACGUGCCAGCAGCCGCGGUAAUACGUAGGGUGCAAGCGUUAAUCGGAAUUACUGGGCGUAAAGCGUGCGCAGGCGGUUUUGUAAGACAGAGGUGAAAUCCCCGGGCUCAACCUGGGAACUGCCUUUGUGACUGCAAGGCUUGAGUGCGGCAGAGGGGGGAUGGAAUUCCGCGUGUAGCAGUGAAAUGCGUAGAUAUGCGGAGGAACACCGAUGGCGAAGGCAAUCCCCUGGGCCUGCACUGACGCUCAUGCACGAAAGCGUGGGGAGCAAACAGGAUUAGAUUGCCCCUGGUAGUCCACGCCCUAAACGAUGUCAACUGGUUGUUGGGAAGGUUCCUUCUCAGUAACGUAGCUAACGCGUGAAGUUGACCG
rnacentral:rRNA from 1 species